CUCUUUCUCUCUUGCCUGCUGCCAUGUAAGACGUCCCAUUGCUCUUCCUUCAUCUUCCACCAUGAUUAUGAGGCGUCUCCAGCCACAUGGAACUGUGAGUCCAUUAAACCUCCUUUUUUUUAAGAAUUACCCAGUCUCGGAUAAGUCUUUAUCAGCAGCGUGAUUAAUACAGUCGAGUAAACUAUUUUUCUGUCAGAAAGCAAUUCAAAGUUAGCUGAUUGGUCUGACAAUGAGGGCUGGCUUUGCCCACCAGGUGAUACAGAUGGUGUUUUUCAUAAACUAAACUGGAUACGCUCAAUCUGCAACUAUUUAAAGCUCAGAAAAUGUGUGGGAAAGAACAUCCUUUGCAACUAUUAAGGUGAUAAGGCAAAUUUAGAUGUCAACUUAAAAACACGCAAGGAGGCACAUGAUUAUUCACAAUUAUUUUAGGGGGGUAUGUGAGAAAACUCUGGAAGACCAUUGAAUCUUCCAGUUCUCUUCAAAUUAACCAGUGUUGGGAAGUUCGUUUAACCACCUAGAGUUGCGAUCCUAGUUUUGCUCUGCAGAGGGCAGCAUUGCUAAAAUAUUAUUCGACUGUAAAGAAAGGAUUUUUUUUUUUUUUUUAACAAGCUCUUUCUAGGCUAACUUACCUCUCCUGUCUUGUGGCAUUUUUUUUUUAAUUCUUAAUUUUUAAUUUUUGUGGGCACAUAGUAGGUCUAUAUAUUUGUGGGAUACAUGAGAUAUUUGGGUACAGGCAUGCAAUGCAUAAUAAUCACAUCAUGGAAAGUAGGGUAUCCAUCCCCUCAAGCAUUUAUCCUUUGUGUUACAAACCAUCCAACUAUACUCUUUUAGUUAUUUUUAAAUGUACAAUUAAAUUAUUAUUGACUAUAGUUACCCUGUUGUGCUAUCAAAUACUAGGUCUAAGCUUCAGCAUUUAUGGCCUCGAGGAGAGAGUUGCUAUUUGACCAGAACAGAAAUACAAAAGGCCUCUGUGUCAGGCACAUUUUUCCAGGGCAGAAACAGCAUUUUUUUUUCCUUUACUAAACAAUUAUCUGUCUUUCUGGAGUCUAACACAGUGCCCAGCACCAACAAGCGAGUGCCCAAAAAGUGUAUGAUGGAUGAAAAGUAGUGCAGUCUCCAACUCCAGGGAAGCUUUGGGUUAAACAUGCAAGACAUGGCUCACCAGCAUUCCUGAAACUCUAAAACCUGCCUUGAUCAGAUUGCUGUAAGUUCAAAUAGUCCUUAGAAAGAGCAGCCACCACCUGGAAGGACUUUGGCACUGGCUGACACAAAAUGGCCUGACUCCAGCUACACCUGGUUAUGGUGCUCUUUGGUCCCCGGAAAUCUUCUGAUGCCAUUUCACCAAGAAAGUCACAUGAUUUUCUUAUAGUUGGUAAAUUCUUUCCAGGCCUUAAAUAAAUGGCCAAAAUUUUACACUUAAAGCGCAGGUUAAGUAUGGAGACAAAUUACCCAUACUUCCCGGUGAAUUCAGCUGUAACAGGAAUUGAAACUUUCUCUCAAAAAUAAGAAAGGGAAGGGAGAUCAGGUCGAAAGAAAAAGCAUGAAGUAAUGAAUUUUGACUCUGAGGCUCUCAGUUCCUCUUUUCCAACUUCGUGUCUCCUCCCUGUGGUGUUCAGCUCCUACCCCCAGCUAAGUGUCUGCACGUUAUUUCUGGCUGCAGAAAUUGUCUUCAGGCAAGUUUUAACUUGUGGGUGUUAACUGCUUCCACCAGGGCAUUUGAGUAUUUGUUUAAUUUGAACUAAAAUAAAGGGUUAUGCUUCCUGUAAAGGGAUCCCAGCAUCAGGAACAAGUGUGCCAGGCAGCGUUUUCAGAGAACAGGCUCUCUGGCUGCUGCUAAGCCUGGAGACAGGCAGGGGAGGAAUACAGUGGCUUCCCCCAGUAUCCUCCCAUGGAGCUGCAAAGGUCCCACCGCUAAUAAGAUAGGAUGGGACUGAGUCAAGGUCUGUUGAACUAGAAACCUGUGUUCUUAACCUACUGACUGCUAUUCUCACUCUCUGGACUGGCCCAGACUGGCCCCGGACAGGCUCAAUACAUGAUUGUUGAGUUAAAAACAAAAAAAAACAAAAUCUCAUUGAGAAAGAAAAGAAACUUUAUCUGAAGAAUGUGAGCCAUUUUAAAUUAUCAGGCCCAAAGAGGCAUUGAAAUGUGACAGCAAUUAUGUCUCAUUCCCUGCCUUGAGCUAAGUAAUCACCUCUUGAAGCCACUUGCUAUGUGGGCUCAAGACUGACUGACACCAAGUGGCCAUACAUUAACCUAACAAUGCCAUAUGCUAGAUACCAUAGCUCUUACCCUAUAGCUCAACAAGGUAUAGCCAAUCAUGAAUCAAUAUUACUUCUUUAAGCCAGUGAGAAUUCCUGCCAAACAACUUUGUAUCAGCCUAUUCCUUGUUCCCUUUUGCCUUUAGAAACCUGCUUGUGGUUGGGUGUCAGGGCUCAUGCCUGUAAUUCCAGUAUUUUGAGAGGCUGAGGCAAGAGGAUCACUUGAGCCCGGAAGUUCAAGACCAGCCUGGGCAAUAUAGGGAGACCUUGUCUCUAUGAAAAAUUUAAAAAUUAGCCAGGCAUGGUGGCAUGUACCUGUAAUCCCAGCUACUUGGGAGGCUGAGAUGGGAGGGUUGCUCGAGGCCAGCAGGCCAAGGCUGCAGUGAGCCAUGAUUGUGCCACUGCACUCCAGCCUGGGUGAUGGCGUGAGACCCUGUCUCAAAAAACAAACCAAAAAAAAAAAAAAAAAGACCCUGCCUGUGCAAAUACAUAAGGGAGCACUUCCCAAGACAACUUGGAAGUGUUUCCCGGGCCGCUGUCCUCACUGUGACUCAAGUUAACUCCUUAAAAUUGUAUUUUGUGCCUCAGCUUCUUCCUUUAGGUUAACUCCCAUGAAGAGCUUUGAAAGAAAUAGAAGGAUAUUACAUCCUCUUGGAUCAGUCUUGCAAAUGGAGAACCUGCUCUCUGGGAGAAAAGUCAAAUCGGUCCCACGGCUCUCUUCUCCCACUAAGAACAACUGGUUCCUUCCUUCAGAAGAAGAUGUGUUAUUCCCACCAGUAGUGGUGAGCGCCUGGAUUCCAAAAGGGUUAAGAAUUCGGAGAUGUGACCUGCCUCAUUCUGAAGAACGUGGCCCAGCAUGUGUAUGAAGCAAUUAAUUGCUCCACAAACCCUGAAAAUUUGAUCACUGGCCAGAGUAACGCUGAGGAGCCAUCCUGUCUUCUGCUUGAGUGUCUUCACUCUGGGGAUUCUGGCAGGCUGGUUUCCUGGCCAGAUGCUUCUCAUCCACACCUGUGGACCUCAGGAAACCAAAGGUGACCUCUGUUGGCAUGGCCUUGACUUCCUUUCCACCAAUGCCCAUGAGAUGUGGAAAUUGAGCGAACAUCCACACCAGAACCAUACACUCAAACAAGCAGGUUGGGGCAGGGAAACUCCAUCACAUCAUGGUGAGGCAGAGAUGCUGCAGCCACCCAGAUCAUUGUGUAGUAGAGGUGGCACCAUUUUACUAUGUGUCCUCCCUGCACUCAGUGAAGUCUGUGAAGGGAGGGGUCAGUGCAGCAAGGAGCUCGCUCUGCCCCAGAGGAGAGAGUGGAAUGUUCGAGGACACAUGAAAGCAGUUACUCUGCCUACCUUUUAAAACUCUUUCCUCCUGGGGAACUGGUUUAUUCUGUACUCCUAAACAGACUAUAUCCAUGUAUUCACUCCUUCUAUAAAUAUUUGAGAAAAACCUACUAUAUGCCAAGCACUUUUCUAGGCAAAGGAAAUGCAAUAGCCCUUUCUUCCCAUAGCUUCCAGCCUGGUGGGGAAUAAAGGAAUUAAAUAAGCAAUUACAA
rnacentral:lncRNA from 1 species